CAGCUUCAAAACCACCAGAUGCUGACAGCUGCUGUGGAAAUCUAAGCAAGUGGAGGGAUAUCCAGAUUGAGCUGGCCAAGUUUGGUACAAGAGCUAAGAGUCUGGGAACAAUGGGAGGUCAGCUUUCUGUGUCACUGUGGAUACAAAGGAAGUACUUUUGAGACACAGACAGGAAGUGACUGAGGACUUUAAGGGCAGCUUGGGCUAUCCAGGAAAGUUCUUCAUUCUUGUUUUUUUCUGCUGAGGCUCUAGAGGGACACCUGUCAGACUGACCAAGGCCGAAGAUGGCUCCCUACCAGAGAGAUUCAACUGAGGGCUUGCGAUAGGUCUUGUGACAUUGCUAUUGAUCUUGAGACAUUCAUCUGAAGCAUGAUUGUCACUGGCUUCAAACUUUCCUCAUCAUAAGAGAGGGACUGGGUCUACUUCAAAUGUUUCGCACUAAUGAAGUUAACAUUCCCUUUCAUGGUGAGCUCUGCCCUCAUCAUGAGACCAUGCCCAGGCUAGUCUGCUGGAAGGAAGUCAGAGGCACACGGAAGAGAGCCACAUUCAGCCAAGGCCAUUCUAGACCAGUUGUUCCCUGUCACUUCACUAAUUGGCCACAGCACAAGGUUUUGUUGAAGAUUGAAUGAGUGUGUAAAGUGCCCAACAGAAAGUCUGGCACAUGGUACACGGAUGGAGCUGGAAGCCAUUAUCCUCAGCAAACUAAUGUAGGAACAGAAAACCAAAUAUUGCAUGUUCUUACUUAUAAGUGGGAGCUGAACAACGAGAACACAUGGACACAGGGAGGGAAACAACACACACUGGGGCCUGUCCAGCAGUAAGGUUGAGGCAGGGAAAGCAUUAGGAAAAAUAGCUAUGCAUGCUGGGCUGAAUACUGGGUGAUGGAUUGAUAGGUGCAGCAAACCACCAUGGCAUAUGUUUACCUUUGUAAGAAACCAGCACAUCCUGCACAUGUACCCUGGAACUUAAAAUAAAAAUUAAAAUGUUUUUUAAAAAAGUCAUGAUGUUUUCUCAGCAGCCCAGUUUACUUUUCCAGACCCCUCUGGCAUGUGUUACUCCAGAAAAAGGCCGGUGUGUGUGAAACCCAGGCCACUGUGACACUGUAUAAUGAGAGGGACAGGCAGGGAGGAGGGAGAAGGUUGCUCCA
rnacentral:lncRNA from 10 species